GUGGGGAAUAUUGGACAAUGGGCGAAAGCCUGAUCCAGCCAUGCCGCGUGAGUGAUGAAGGCCUUAGGGUUGUAAAGCUCUUUCAGUAGGGAAGAUAAUGACGGUACCUACAGAAGAAGCCCCGGCUAACUUCGUGCCAGCAGCCGCGGUAAUACGAAGGGGGCUAGCGUUGUUCGGAUUUACUGGGCGUAAAGCGCACGUAGGCGGAUUGGUCAGUUAGAGGUGAAAGCCUGGAGCUCUACUCCAGAACUGCCUUUAAUACUGCCAGUCUAGAGUCCAGAAGAGGUGAGUGGAACUCCUAGUGUACAGGUGGAAUUCGUAGAUAUUAGGAAGAACACCAGUGGCGAAGGCGGCUCACUGGUCUGGUACUGACGCUGAGGUGCGAAAGCGUGGGGAGCAAACAGGAUUAGAAACCCCAGUAGUCC
rnacentral:rRNA from 1 species